rnacentral:rRNA from 3 species
UGAUCUCAAAUCAGGUAGGACUACCCGCUGAACUUAAGCAUAUCAAUAAGC